AUUGAACGCUGGCGGCAUGCCUUACACAUGCAAGUCGAACGGCAGCACGGGUGCUUGCACCUGGUGGCGAGUGGCGAACGGGUGAGUAAUACAUCGGAACAUGUCCUGUAGUGGGGGAUAGCCCGGCGAAAGCCGGAUUAAUACCGCAUACGAUCUACGGAUGAAAGCGGGGGACCUUCGGGCCUCGCGCUAUGGGGUUGGCCGAUGGCUGAUUAGCUAGUUGGUGGGGUAAAGGCCUACCAAGGCGACGAUCAGUAGCUGGUCUGAGAGGACGACCAGCCACACUGGGACUGAGACACGGCCCAGACUCCUACGGGAGGCAGCAGUGGGGAAUUUUGGACAAAGGGCGAAAGCCUGAUCCAGCAAUGCCGCGUGUGUGAAGAAGGCCUUCGGGUUGUAAAGCACUUUUGUCCGGAAAGAAAUCCUUGGCCCUAAUACGGUCGGGGGAUGACGGUACCGGAAGAAUAAGCACCGGCUAACUACGUG
rnacentral:rRNA from 1 species